rnacentral:lncRNA from 1 species
UUUAAAAAUUUUUUUUGUUAAAAAAACUUAUUUUGUAUUUUAAUAUUUUUUUAAUCAGUAUUUAGUAUUUUUUUAAUUAGUAUUUUAAUUAUUUUCAUGUGGCAGCCACGUAAGCAAUUUGGACGGAUGUUAGUCUAUGUGGCAUGCCUGUCAACGGCAGGGGCACGAAUGACCCAAAAAAUAUAACGUUAGGGGUAUUUUUGAACAAAAAAAAGUAUAGAGUGCUCGGUAGACAUUAGAAAAAAUGUCAGAGGCAUUUUUAGACCUUAUCCCUGCUGAUAUUCGACUAAUAAAAUAUUUCUACUUUUGUUAUAAACAAAUAGAAUGACACAAAAUAAAUAAUACAAAUACAUAAAUAAUCAUGAAAUGUGUAAAAUCCUAACUUUUUGAAUAAAGAUGAAUUUUCUAUAAAUAUUAUUUUUGAAUAUUAUGGAGUGAAAUUGAUAUAAUAGUUGUGGGUAAUAUUUAUAAAUUUUGCAAAGUACGCAAGUUGUUAUAUAAUAUUCGAUUGGUCGGGGAAUAUUCGUUUUAACAUGGAAUAUUAGUACAACGGCACAAUUAUUGGUGGACCCCACAACGGAAUUAUUGUCGGAUUGAAAAAAUAACAAAAAUACUUUAUGAAAAUAACGGUG